UUACUACUCCCUCCGUCCAACAAAGGAUGUCUCCUUUGACCAAAUUUGAAUGUAUCGAUACGCUAAGUCAUGUCUAGAUACAUCCAAAUUUUGACAAACUUGAGACAUCUUUUGUUGGACGGAGGGAGUAUAAG
rfam:Brachypodium distachyon strain Bd21 chromosome 3, whole genome shotgun sequence.